CCUACGGGUGGCAGCAGUGAGGAAUAUUGGUCAAUGGACGAGAGUCUGAACCAGCCAAGUAGCGUGAAGGAUGACUGCCCUAUGGGUUGUAAACUUCUUUUAUAUGGGGAUAAAACGUUCCACGUGUGGGAUUUUGUAUGUAUCAUAUGAAUAAGGAUCGGCUAACUCCGUGCCAGCAGCCGCGGUAAUACGGAGGAUCCGAGCGUUAUCCGGAUUUAUUGGGUUUAAAGGGAGCGUAGGUGGAUUGUUAAGUCAGUUGUGAAAGUUUGCGGCUCAACCGUAAAAUUGCAGUUGAAACUGGCAGUCUUGAGUACAGUAGAGGUGUGCGGAAUGCGUGGUGUAGCGGUGAAAUGCUUAGAUAUCACGAAGAACUCCGAUUGCGAAGGCAGUUCACUGGACGGCAACUGACACUGAGGCUCGAAAGUGUGGGUAUCAAACAGGAUUAGAUACCCCUGUAGUC
rnacentral:rRNA from 1 species